rnacentral:lncRNA from 1 species
AUGUUCAUUGUGCCUCUGAAAGCCACUAGUGGACUUCUCCAAGAUGCUCAUAGCUUCCUCGGGAUCUUGCUCCUCCGUCCACUCUUGCCGAGACCUCACUUUGGCUGUCAGUCUGGAGACAAUGAAGGCAGGCGGAGGCUGGUCUUCUCUGGCGAAGGUGAAGGUGCUGCCUCUUCGGGAAGGACGGCAGAAGGGAAUUUGGAGUUUCUCGGUGCUCAGUUUCCUGCACCGAAAUGUCUCCGUCCCAGUACCCAGAGUCCUCCACUUUCCCUGUUAGGGCCCUGACUUGACACAGAAUAUUUGCUGAGGCUCCGCAUUUCGUCUUCACGGCAGCUCUAAAUGCCCUAGAAUUAGAUCCUUGCCCUGAUUCUCAGCACAGUCUUUCCCGAGGCUGCAGGAAAUAAAGAUUUCCUUUAAUACUGCCUUCGAGGGCA